rnacentral:rRNA from 1 species
UUUUAUUAUUAACCCAAAAUAAGAUUGGAGAUUAUAAGCAAUAGCUUUAAAACCCAAGAAUUUGGCGGUGUUUUAUUCAAUUAGGGGGACCUGUACUUUAAAUCGACAGUCCACGAUAAACUCUAUCUAACUUUAAUAUUAAUAGCCUGUGUACUGCCGUUUAAUGAACUCUGUAGGUAAUUAUAUAAUCAAUAUAAAAAUUAUAAUUCAGGUCAUAGUGCAGCCUAUAGUUAGACAGUAUAUGGGUCACAUUUUUAAAAAUAUUAAAAAUUUAUAAAUUAACUUUUAUAAUAAAUUUAGGACUUAAUAGUAAUUAUAUAAUUAUUUAUAAUAUAAUGAAUAUGAACUUAAAACAAGUACACAUCGCCCGUCACUCCUUUAUAUAGGAUAAGUCGUAACAUAGUAGAUGUAAUGGAAAUUGCAUCUGU